rnacentral:rRNA from 1 species
GGCGAACGGGUGCGUAACGCGUAUGCAACUUACCUUAUGCACGGGGAUAGCCCGUGGAAACGCGGAUUAAUAUCCCAUAGAUCAGUAAUAUCGCAUGGUAUAACUGGUAAAACUCAGGUGGCAUAAGAUGGGCAUGCGUCUGAUUAGCUAGUUGGUAAGGUAACGGGCUACCAAGGGCGACGAUCAGUAGGGGUUCUGAAAGGAUUAACCCCCAAACUGGUACUGAGACACGGACCAGACUCCUACGGGAGGCAGCAGUGAGGAAUAUUGGUCAAUGGGCGCAAGCCUGAACCAGCCAUCCCGCGUGAAGGAAGAAGGGCCUACGGGUUGUAAACUUCUUUUCUGUUUGAAGAAUAAGCUCGUCGAGACGAGUGAUGCCGGUAGGACAGGAAUAAGCAUCGGCUACUCCGUGCCAGCAAGCCGCGGUAAUACGGAGGAUGCAAGCGUUAUCCGGAUUUAUUGGGUUUAAAGGGUGCGCAGGUGGUUUAAUAAGUCAGUGGUGAAAGUCUGGCGCUUAACGUUAGGAUUGCCAUUGAUACUGUUAGACUUGAAUAUGGAUGAGGUAGGCGGAAUGUGUAGUGUAGCGGUGAA